rnacentral:snRNA from 1 species
GCAUACAACACCUCCCAAAGCUGCGUAUUGGGUAGAAGAGGACGGCCUUCCCAGAAGGGAGACAAACCGGUCUUCGGUUGAGGGUAUACUAGUAGCUGCGCUCCCCUGCUAGAACCACCAAACAAGCUCUCAAGGGUCCCAGUUCAAUCCCCCGGAUCUCUACCUGCAGGGGAGUCGCUUCACAGGCAGUGAAGCAGGUCUGCAGGUGUCUAUAUUUCUCU